rnacentral:rRNA from 1 species
UGGCGCACGGGUGAGUAACGCGUGGGAACCUGCCCUGAGGUACGGAAUAACUACGGGAAACUGUAGCUAAUACCGUAUACGCCCUUCGGGGGAAAGAUUUAUCGCCUUAGGAUGGUCCCGCGUCGGAUUAGGUUGUUGGUGGGGUAACGGCCUACCAAGCCUACGAUCCGUAGCUGGUCUGAGAGGAUGAUCAGCCACACUGGGACUGAGACACGGCCCAGACUCCUACGGGAGGCAGCAGUGGGGAAUAUUGGACAAUGGGGGCAACCCUGAUCCAGCCAUGCCGCGUGCGUGAAGAAGGCCUUAGGGUUGUAAAGCGCUUUCAGCGGGGACGAUGAUGACGGUACCCGCAGAAGAAGCCCCGGCUAACUCCGUGCCAGCAGCCGCGGUAAU